rnacentral:rRNA from 1 species
GCAUAUCAAUAAGCGGAGGAAAAGAAACCAACAGGGAUUGCCCUAGUAACGGCGAGUGAAGCGGCAACAGCUCAAAUUUGAAAUCUGGCUUCGGCCCGAGUUGUAAUUUGCAGAGGAUGUUUAUGGUGCGGUACCUUCCGAGUUCCCUGGAACGGGACGCCACAGAGGGUGAGAGCCCCGUCUGGUUGGAUACCAAACCUGUGUUAAACUCCUUCAACGAGUCGAGUAGUUUGGGAAUGCUGCUCUAAAUGGGAGGUAAAUCUCUUCUAAAGCUAAAUACUGGCCAGAGACCGAUAGCGCACAAGUAGAGUGAUCGAAAGAUGAAAAGCACCUUGAAAAGGGGGUUAAACAGUACGUGAAAUUGUUGAAAGGGAAGCGUUUAUGACCAGACUUGUGUCGUGUGGCUCAUCCGAGGUUCUCCCCGGUGCACUCCAGCACUCCACGCGGCUCAGGCCAACAUCGGUUCUUGUUGGAGGAUAAGAACAGUAGGAACGUAGCUCUCCUUCGGGGGAGUGUUAUAGCCUAUUGUACGAUACUCUGACGGGGACCGAGGACCGCGCUUCGGCUAGGAUGUUGGCGUAAUGGUCAUUAGCGACCCGUCUUGAAACACGGACCAAGGAGUCGUCCAUUAGAGCGAGCGUUUGGGUGUAAAACCCGCACGCGUAAUGAAAGUGAAAUUAGGUGAGAGCUUCGGCGCAUCAUCGACCGAUCCUGAAGUUUACGGAUGGAUUUGAGUAAGAGUUUUAACGGACGGACCCGAAAGACAGUGAACUAUGCUUGAAUAGGGUGAAGCCAGAGGAAACUCUGGUGGAGGCUCGCAGCGGUUCUGACGUGCAAAUCGAUCGUCAAAUUUGAGCAUGGGGGCGAAAGACUAAUCGAACUGUCUAGUAGCUGGUUACCGCCGA